rnacentral:rRNA from 1 species
GAGUUUGAUCCUGGCUCAGAUUGAACGCUGGCGGCAUGCUUUACACAUGCAAGUCGAACGGCAGCACAGGGAGCUUGCUCCUGGGUGGCGAGUGGCGAACGGGUGAGUAAUGUAUCGGAACGUGCCUGGUAGUGGGGGAUAACCACUCGAAAGAGUGGCUAAUACCGCAUGAGAUCUCUGGAUGAAAGCGGGGGACCUUUGGGCCUCGCGCUAUCGGAGCGGCCGAUAUCAGAUUAGGUUGUUGGUGGGGUAAAGGCCUACCAAGCCUGCGAUCUGUAGCUGGUCUGAGAGGACGACCAGCCACACUGGGACUGAGACACGGCCCAGACUCCUACGGGAGGCAGCAGUGGGGAAUUUUGGACAAUGGGCGCAAGCCUGAUCCAGCAAUGCCGCGUGCAGGACGAAGGCCCUCGGGUUGUAAACUGCUUUUGUACAGAACGAAAAGUCUCUGGCUAAUAUCUGGGGAACAUGACGUA